UGAUUAAGCCAUGCAAGUCGAACGAAUUUAGAUUCGUGGCGUACGGCUCAGUAACACGUGGAUAACCUACCCUUAGGACUGGGAUAACCCUGGGAAACUGGGGCUAAUACCGGAUAGAUGAUUUUUCCUGUAAUGGUUUUUUGUUUAAAUGUUUUUUCGCCUAAGGAUGGGUCUGCGGCAGAUUAGGUAGUUGGUUAGGUAAUGGCUUACCAAGCCUAUGAUCUGUACGGGUUGUGAGAGCAAGAGCCCGGAGAUGGAACCUGAGACAAGGUUCCAGGCCCUACGGGGUGCAGCAGGUGCGAAACCUCCGCAAUGUGAGAAAUCGCGACGGGGGGAUCCCAAGUGCCAUUCUUAACGGGAUGGCUUUUCUUAAGUGUAAAAAGCUUUUGGAAUAAGAGCUGGGCAAGACCGGUGCCAGCCGCCGCGGUAACACCGGCAGCUCUAGUGGUAGCUGUUUUUAUUGGGCCUAAAGCGUUCGUAGCCGGUUUAAUAAGUCACUGGUGAAAUCCUGUAGCUUAACUGUGGGGAUUGCUGGUGAUACUGUUGAACUUGAGGUCGGGAGAGGUUAGCGGUACUCCCAGGGUAGAGGUGAAAUUCUGUAAUCCUGGGAGGACCACCUGUGGCGAAGGCGGCUAACUGGAACGAACCUGACGGUGAGGGACGAAAGCUAGGGGCGCGAACCGGAUUAGAUACCCGGGUAGUCCUAGCCGUAAACGAUGCGGACUUGGUGUUGGGGUGGCUUUGAGCCGUUUUGGUGCCGAAGGGAAGCUGUUAAGUCCGCCGCCUGGGAAGUACGGUCGCAAGACUGAAACUUAAAGGAAUUGGCGGGGGAGCA
rnacentral:rRNA from 1 species